GCAAAAGAUAGCUCAGUGGUUAGAGCAUGAAACCUUUAAUUUCAGGGUCAUAGGUUAGAGCCCCACGUUGGGCA